UGUCCUUUGAGGAGACAGUGCCUGCCUUUGUGAUAGCCAAACCAAACCCCAUAAUGCUAUCAGGAUUCUUUGCUAGGAAUUGUCUUCCUGUGAAGCGAGAGACAAUAUUACAGAACUGCCAGCAUAAAGAAAAAAGACAAUCUCUGACAUCUGUAAGAGCGUGAAAUUUCUGUUUACUCAGAGAUGAUUGUAAUGGCCCAUGUGAUAGUUCAGUUCUGCUCAGUAACCAGCUGCGUCAUUAUACUAUAUAAAUCACAAAUGGUAAACAGAAGUAAGUAGAGCAAGGGCUCCCUCCCACCACAAAUAAAUAAACAAGAGAUUUGGGUACCUUCUGAUUGUGCAGUUUUAAGGAGGCUUUCCUGAAAAUUUUCAAAUUUAUAUUUCAUAAAGGGCAUUCUCAAGGAAAGAAGAUAGAAGAUGAGUAGCAGCUUGUUAACACAGGCAAGAGGUACCUAGAGCCUUGUUCUGACAAAUGGAGAAACCAUAUGGGAGAAGUUUUCCCCACACACAUUUUGGCAUGAGCAUAUUCCUCCAGCCUGCCUAUGUCCAGUGGAAGAGAAGCCCUGCACCUGAGCAUACCGAUUUCAUCACUAGAGUUUGCUGUCAUCUGCAAAACUGGAAGAAUUGCAGGCUAGUUCCUCCUCCAGCUCACAGACAGAGAGAUGAAAUAUUACAGGACCCAAGACAGACACCUGAGAGACUCCACUUGUAACCAAAGUCCAGCUUCCUGUCAGUGCUGCUGUAAAAACCACAAUACUUAUGGUCCACAUCCCUUUUUAAUGAAUGCAGGUAAACUGGAAGGAAACCUGAGUCUUCCCUUAGAUUGUCAGACAACAAAGUUCAUGUUGAUAAGUGUUCCUGUGGUUUUUCAUGCAAUGAAAUAAAAAGGAAGAUGGUGUUUCAUUCCCGAGGAUUCUGUGCACAAACCAGAGGCAAGCA